CAGGCCGCCGCGCCCCGCUGGGCGCUUCCCCUCCGUGAUUGGCCGCGGGCGCCGGUGGUCCCUCCCCCCCGCGGUGUGGAGGGGGGUUGCGGUGUGCGGCGGGACCCUUACCCCGCGCUAUGUCCCUCAGCGGCGAGCGCCUGCGUGCCCUGCUGGGGAGACCCCUUAGAGUCACCUUAAAAUGCGGCGUCUUCCAGGGGGUGCUGCAGUGUGUGAACCCCGACCGGAGCCUUCUCCUGCGGACAGUGAAGAACGUGGAAACUGGCAGAAGCACUCCAGGAGUAAAGAUGUUUUUUGGCCAUGAAAUAGUCAAUGUGGAACUGCUGGAUGAACCAGAUUCAGGGAAGGGAACAGCAAUGCUCUACAAGUGCACUUCAGCUGUUGAAGGGAACAAACAAGCAGAUGCAGGACUAGCAGAUUGUGGCCCAUGGAGCUCUUCUCACGUUCCCCUAGGCAGCCAGCUCAGAGCCUCAGAUAGCUUAAAAUACUCCCUCUCAGAGAAGAAGGAUGAAGAGAAUGUGGAGUACACAGUUGUUGAUUGUUUCCAGCAGAAAUUUGAGCCAGCAGUGCUGCACCUGAAACAGCAGUGCGUUAUCAGUGUAGCAGGAGAAGGUGUUAAUUUGUGUCGUCAUGGAAAACUCUCAUGGCUUGAGAUAGGAACAAAGAGCCAUAUUUUUCUGUUUGAUAUCUUCCUUCUGGGACCUCAGGCUUUCAAAAAUGGAUUACAAAUGGUGCUGGAAGACAAAAACAUCUUGAAGGUCAUGCAUGACUGCCGCGGGAUCUCAGACUGCCUCUUCCACCAGUACGGUGUCCUUCUCUUCAAUGUCUUUGACACACAGGUUGCUGAUGCUCUGCAGUUCUCAGUGGCAACAGGUGGCUUCCUUCCACACCGUGUCUGCACAUUACAGGAGUGUUUGAUGCAGCACUUGAAGAUACCUUCCAAAUGGCAUGCCAUCAUGAAGAGCAGGCAGCAGAUGGCUUCGGAGAAUGCUGACAUAUGGUUCCUGAGACCCUUUCCAGCUUUUCUGCUUAAAGCACUUGCUCUGAAGGCUAUGUACCUUCUGCGGCUCCACGCAUCUCUAAUGGAUAACUUGAUGUCUGACCUAACAACUGUAGUACGUGGUUAUUUAAAUGCUUAUCAGUCUGGGUCUGGAGAUCCCCUUAGGAGCACAAAGGUAGGUAUGUCUGCUUAUGUCUCUGGUUAGUGAUUUGAUCUGAGGCUCUGAUGGGUAACUCUGGAGGACUUAGCCACAGCAGCUUCCUUUUCUGCAACUGUACACCCUACUUUAUGCCAUUAUGUACCUUGUUUCCUUUGAUGAGCAGCAGAAGUGAUGGUGUCUGUAUCUACCUAGCUGCAUUUCAUGUUAGUCCAUCAGCACAAAUCCACCUCAAGUUAGUGCUGGGGAUGGUGAGCUGCAGCUGUUAAGGCAUGGGCACAGGCACAUGUGCCUUCUCUUCACUCUCAUCUGAGACUGAGAACCUCUGGGCUUGAUAGGGGUUGCAUAUUUGUGGGAGCAUGAAGAGGAGCAGGCAGUUGUGUUGGUACCUGGAGCUGCCAGAGUUCCUUUGUUUUGGUAAGAGAACUGAGUCCCAAAAUCUUGUUCUGUUUUUCUCCUAUUCUGUCAUCUUUACUGCUGAGAUGUUUUUCAUAUACUGGCUGUUUCUGGAUAGUGGUGUCUCUUGUUGGCCAAAGAUUUUUAUUUCUGUAAAGCAUCUCUGCAUUAUCUUGUCUUCCUCAUUUAUUCUCACCUUCAUUAGCAGGGUGGGGCAGGAACAAAACCAAGUCAAGUAACACUUUUCGUCUUUGGUUACAUAGAACCAGUAGUAUUGCAUGCCCUGGUACCUUGGAGUGGUUCUUGUAUGGUGGACAUUUCUGUAAUUGCUUGUUAAUUUUUAAAGCAGGGCAGGGGGAAUUAGAUUUUUGAUUAAGGAGCUUGACUUCCUGUGCUAGUAGAAAGAACCCAUCCAUGCAAACCAAAGAAGCAGUGGUAUUGGUGUGGUCUAUUUCUGUCUUUUCAAUGAAGUAAUCUUAGGAGGGCUUGCAUCAACUAUGCAAGUUAUUGCAGGUAUUACAUUUGGAUGAAAAGUGAAUAGUCAAACAUCCUCAUUCAUCACAAAAAGACUGAACUAACAUGAUUAAAUCCUGUUACUGCCUCACUUCUGCAGUUGUAAAUGUCUUGAAAUAUUUAUGGGGAAAAGAGACUGCAGGUCUGUCAUCAUGGAAGGAAUUGUCUUUUUCUUUGCCCUGGUUUAACAAAGCACUGAAGCACAGACUUGAAUUCUUUGGGAAUUACUUAAGGGCUCAGAGCAGAAAAUCUCAUUAUUGAGGAUUUAGGAAGGGAUUAGUUGAAAUAACCACAAGAGGUCAUAGUUGCUUCACAGAUGGAAGAGAAGAGGUCACUCUGAAAAGCUUUUCUUUUUAGGGGAGAGAUGCCAAAAAAAGAAGUUGUUCAUAGUUCAUGGAAAAAAAUUAGCUCGAUAUCUGAAUUUCCAGUAUGAAGUAGCAUGCAAAAGUAGGCAUGACACAAGGGAAAAGAAGAGUCUGUUAGAGUGAAAAGAGUACAAAUUCAGUUUUGCAUUGGGCUAUUUGUAGAAAAAUUUUUGAAGUGGUACUCAGGUUGCUGGAGCCAAUCCUUUUGUAAAUCCAUUUAUUCCAUAAGAUUACCCAAAUAAUUGAUCUGGUCCCGAGAAUUUCAAAUGGCAUUUUGAAGAUCUAUUUAAUAUCACAUCUGAUAAUUAUACUGCCUCCAGCUGCUUUAGAAAUCUUGUAGUAUGGGUAGUAAAAGUAGCCAUUUUCACCACCAUUUCACUGUUAAUCAUUUUUUGAUGUUUCUUCUACUUUAUUUAAAAUCUGCUUGCAAUACGUAUUUGAAGUCCAAAUAUGCAGUUUGGUUUAGUUAAAACUGGUUUGUUACUUCAGUUUCUUCACUGAGUAAGUAAACAAAGUCAAUUUUAAGGGAAUCCUUUGCAAGUUGAUGAGUUCAGCUAAAUCUGUUUUAAGAAAAAAAGAAAGAAAAAAUAACUUUGUGCAACUUCUAGGUUUUCUGGCUAGGUCUAUAUUAAUUCCCUGAAUCAAAAAGCCUUUAUUCAGAUCUGAUUGUCAGAAUGAAAUAAUAAUCAAGAGACACACGCACAUUUAUUCUAGUGCUUUUUCAUGGAUAUUUAGAAGUAAAGUUUAUCCAUCACUAAGGUCUGUGUUAUGCCAUCUGUGCACUUUGUGGAGCUACAGUUGGAAGUUACCUAGAAGGUUCUUUUACUGGACUAUUUUACUUUUUACACAGACCAGUCACAAUUUACACUUGUGCUCCACCUUGGUGCCUUGGUGAACAGCAGCCUGGGGUGCAAUGAGCUUGACUUCAUCUUGGAGCUGGUCUCCAGCCACAGCAACACUGGAGUCCCUAUGCUUGAUGCCUGUGUUCUCCAGGCAUGGAGGGAGAGGGAGGGAAGGAAAGAAAAAGAAAGGCAUCUCAUUGAUCCUGACACUUUUGGAAAUGUGUGUUGACACUUCCUGUGGUUUCUUGUGUCUUCACCUGCAAGUAGUAGUCAAGUCUUCUGAAUACUGGACACUCCCUUCUAAGCAACUGACUUUUCACCCACAAACCAGAUGCAAAACGGCAACCUCUGAUCACCAGCACUUCAUUAUCAAAACUCUCAGCUUCCCUUUUCAGCAUCUUUCAGAAACUGAUAAUCUUCCUCACUGCUGAGGAAGAGAACUCAACACAAACUUCCCACCCUGAAAGUCUCUGCAGUUUCCUGCAUUUUCAGCAUAACUGUCUGCCAGGAGUAAUUGUGCUUCUUGUGGUUGCAGACAUCAAGUAAAAUGGGCUUUUGUGCUGCUGCACCUCAGUCACUAGAAAAGAUGUAGUAAAGGAGCUGUACGUGCUGAAUUUCUAACUUUCCUCAUAGAUUCAUAUUGUGUGUAGUUAGGGAUUUGGAAAUGCAGCUGCAUUCUGAUGUUUAGGACUUAAGUUCAAAGAAAACAGCCUGGGAACCCAUCGGUGUAAAGAAGUACGUGUUCUCCUAGAAGUGCAGUGCUUUCUUGGCUAAGUGCUGACAGUACACAAGCAGUGCACUGGUACCACGGGGCAGUUGCACACCCCUGUGCAGCAGUUCAUUUCCCAGUGCACUUAAGGUAAAGCAGCAGUAGACCAGGUGCAGUGCGGUAUAUGAUACCAGAUAACAUGUUCAUGACACGUGGUGGCAUGAACUCUGUUCUCUGUCUAAAUAUAAUUGAAUGCCUCAGCCAGUAGUUUUCCUAAUUGGCAGGUGAGCUGGGACUGCACCAAAUACAUAUUAAACUUUAUGAACAUACAACCUGAAUUUUCACGCAAUUAAGUUUAAAUAGUUUAGGGCAUGGAUUACCCCUUGCUGUAGGAUACUGCAGCAGUUAGGAAGCUGGAUGUAGGUUCUUCUGGUUAAACAGAACGGAAGGUGGGGUGUUUUCCAGUAAGUGCUUUAUCUGCUUUUUUCUGUAAGCCUGUCUGAAUCAUUUAGCCUUCCUCUGGAUCUGUGCAAACUUCUAGAUGCAGGUUUUGCGACGCACAGCUUCCCUUACAAAAGCACCACAUCUGUAUAUCCACUCUUCUGUUCUUAGUGCUUUUACCAGUAUGUAUAUACUUACACUUGACUUGCCAGCAUGUUGCUUCCUGUAUCUUUCCCGGGACCUUCUUUAGCAUCUUCCAGUCCCUGGGUAUCAAGUCAGGUUUUAAGCAAGAUACUAUAGUUAACUAAUUCAGCUUUUUCGUCUUCUACUGUUCAGGAAUUUUAGGUGAAAUCCACCUUGGUGUUUGUAUUUCAAUUACCGGUAACUAGGUAUUCAUGGGGCAAUUUGAAACAGAUUCCAGCCCACUUGCACAGAGCUGCCAGAGGAGCUGCGUCAGCUGGCAGAGAUCCAGAAGCUGCGAAGGGAGAAAGCAAUAAAAGACUACAGAAUGAAUGGGGAUGGGCUUUUAAUCAGACCAGCCAUGGAAUUAGAAG